UAUAAUCACAAAUGAUAGUUUUUUAAAAAAACAAGAUAAUAUGAGAAAGAAUUUUUUUUUGAUAAAGUAAACACUAAAACUAAAGUUGGCGAUAACUUUGGUGUUUACGAUCUCACCACCAAAAUUUGCACUACCUUCUACACAGAAGACGAAGUUUCAAUAAGAAACUUGGACUUCCCUUACUGGCCUCCUCCAAUUCCUCACUACUAGCUCCUAAUUAAUUAACCUUGCUCUUGCCGUGUGUUUGCUUUCU